GUUAAGCGACUAAGCGUACACGGUGGAUGCCCUGGCAGUCAGAGGCGAUGAAGGGCGUGCUAAUCUGCGAUAAGCGCCGGUAAGGUGAUAUGAACCGUUAUAACCGGCGAUACCCGAAUGGGGAAACCCAGUGUGAUUCGUCACACUAUCAUUAACUGAAUCCAUAGGUUAAUGAGGCGAACCGGGGGAACUGAAACAUCUAAGUACCCCGAGGAAAAGAAAUCAACCGAGAUUCCCCCAGUAGCGGCGAGCGAACGGGGAGGAGCCCAGAGCCUGAAUCAGCAUGUGUGUUAGUGGAAGCGUCUGGAAAGGCGCGCGAUACAGGGUGACAGCCCCGUACACAAAAGCGCAUGUGCUGUGAGCUCGAUGAGUAGGGCGGGACACGUGGUAUCCUGUCUGAAUAUGGGGGGACCAUCCUCCAAGGCUAAAUACUCCUGACUGACCGAUAGUGAACCAGUACCGUGAGGGAAAGGCGAAAAGAACCCCGGCGAGGGGAGUGAAAAAGAACCUGAAACCGUGUACGUACAAGCAGUGGGAGCACAGGUUUACCUGUGUGACUGCGUACCUUUUGUAUAAUGGGUCAGCGACUUAUAUUCUGUAGCAAGGUUAACCGUAUAGGGGAGCCGGAGGGAAACCGAGUCUUAAUUGGGCGUUAAGUUGCAGGGUAUAGACCCGAAACCCGGUGAUCUAGCCAUGGGCAGGUUGAAGGUUGGGUAACACUAACUGGAGGACCGAACCGACUAAUGUUGAAAAAUUAGCGGAUGACCUGUGGCUGGGGGUGAAAGGCCAAUCAAACCGGGAGAUAGCUGGUUCUCCCCGAAAGCUAUUUAGGUAGCGCCUCGUGAAUUCAUCUCCGGGGGUAGAGCACUGUUUCGGCUAGGGGGCCAUCCCGGCUUACCAACCCGAUGCAAACUGCGAAUACCGGAGAAUGUUAUCACGGGAGACACACGGCGGGUGCUAACGUCCGUCGUGAAGAGGGAAACAACCCAGACCGCCAGCUAAGGUCCCAAAGUCAUGGUUAAGUGGGAAACGAUGUGGGAAGGCCCAGACAGCCAGGAUGUUGGCUUAGAAGCAGCCAUCAUUUAAAGAAAGCGUAAUAGCUCACUGGUCGAGUCGGCCUGCGCGGAAGAUGUAACGGGGCUAAACCAUGCACCGAAGCUGCGGCAGCGACACUAUGUGUUGUUGGGUAGGGGAGCGUUCUGUAAGCCUGUGAAGGUGUGUCGUGAGGCAUGCUGGAGGUAUCAGAAGUGCGAAUGCUGACAUAAGUAACGAUAAAGCGGGUGAAAAGCCCGCUCGCCGGAAGACCAAGGGUUCCUGUCCAACGUUAAUCGGGGCAGGGUGAGUCGACCCCUAAGGCGAGGCCGAAAGGCGUAGUCGAUGGGAAACGGGUUAAUAUUCCCGUACUUGGUGUUACUGCGAAGGGGGGACGGAGAAGGCUAUGUUGGCCGGGCGACGGUUGUCCCGGUUUAAGCGUGUAGGUGUGUGUUCCAGGUAAAUCCGGUUCACUUUAACACUGAGGCGUGACGACGAGGCACUACGGUGCUGAAGCAACAAAUGCCCUGCUUCCAGGAAAAGCCUCUAAGCAUCAGGUAACAUCAAAUCGUACCCCAAACCGACACAGGUGGUCAGGUAGAGAAUACCAAGGCGCUUGAGAGAACUCGGGUGAAGGAACUAGGCAAAAUGGUGCCGUAACUUCGGGAGAAGGCACGCUGACACGUAGGUGAAGUGAUUUACUCAUGGAGCUGAAGUCAGUCGAAGAUACCAGCUGGCUGCAACUGUUUAUUAAAAACACAGCACUGUGCAAACACGAAAGUGGACGUAUACGGUGUGACGCCUGCCCGGUGCCGGAAGGUUAAUUGAUGGGGUCAGCGCAAGCGAAGCUCCUGAUCGAAGCCCCGGUAAACGGCGGCCGUAACUAUAACGGUCCUAAGGUAGCGAAAUUCCUUGUCGGGUAAGUUCCGACCUGCACGAAUGGCGUAAUGAUGGCCAGGCUGUCUCCACCCGAGACUCAGUGAAAUUGAACUCGCUGUGAAGAUGCAGUGUACCCGCGGCAAGACGGAAAGACCCCGUGAACCUUUACUAUAGCUUGACACUGAACAUUGAGCCUUGAUGUGUAGGAUAGGUGGGAGGCUUUGAAGUGUGGACGCCAGUCUGCAUGGAGCCGACCUUGAAAUACCACCCUUUAAUGUUUGAUGUUCUAACGUGGACCCGUAAUCCGGGUUGCGGACAGUGUCUGGUGGGUAGUUUGACUGGGGCGGUCUCCUCCUAAAGAGUAACGGAGGAGCACGAAGGUUGGCUAAUCCUGGUCGGACAUCAGGAGGUUAGUGCAAUGGCAUAAGCCAGCUUGACUGCGAGCGUGACGGCGCGAGCAGGUGCGAAAGCAGGUCAUAGUGAUCCGGUGGUUCUGAAUGGAAGGGCCAUCGCUCAACGGAUAAAAGGUACUCCGGGGAUAACAGGCUGAUACCGCCCAAGAGUUCAUAUCGACGGCGGUGUUUGGCACCUCGAUGUCGGCUCAUCACAUCCUGGGGCUGAAGUAGGUCCCAAGGGUAUGGCUGUUCGCCAUUUAAAGUGGUACGCGAGCUGGGUUUAGAACGUCGUGAGACAGUUCGGUCCCUAUCUGCCGUGGGCGCUGGAGAACUGAGGGGGGCUGCUCCUAGUACGAGAGGACCGGAGUGGACGCAUCACUGGUGUUCGGGUUGUCAUGCCAAUGGCACUGCCCGGUAGCUAAAUGCGGAAGAGAUAAGUGCUGAAAGCAUCUAAGCACGAAACUUGCCCCGAG
rnacentral:rRNA from 1 species